GGACGAAAAGACCCCGUGCACCUUCACUACAGCUUAGUAUUGACUUCGGAUAAACAAUGUGUAGGAUAGGUGGGAGACUUUGAAGCGGCAUCGCUAGGUGUUGUGGAGUCAACCUUGAAAUACCACCCUUUGUUUAUUUGGAGCCUAACCCCGCAAGGGGGACAUUGCUUGGUGGGUAGUUUGACUGGGGUGGGCGCCUCCAAAAGAGUAACGGAGGC
rnacentral:rRNA from 1 species